AGCCUGAACGCUGGCGGCGUGGCUAAGACAUGCAAGUCGAACGGGUGUAGCAAUACACCAGUGGCGGACGGGUGAGUAAUGUAUCGCUAACGUACCUUGGAGCCAGGGAUAGCUGUCCGAAAGGACAGGUAAUACCUGAUAAAAUAAUCCUGACGCAUGUCGGGAUUCUCAAAGCAGCAAUGCACUCCUUGAGCGGGCGAUAUCGUAUCAGCUAGUUGGUGAGGUAACGGCUCACCAAGGCGACGACGCGUAGCCGGACUGAGAGGUUGGCCGGCCACAUUGGGACUGAGACACUGCCCAGACUCCUACGGGGGGCUGCAGUACGAAUCUUCCGCAAUGCACGAAAGUGUGACGGAGCGACGCCGCGUGUGGGACGAAGUUCUUCGGAAUGUAAACCACUGUCAGGGUUAGAAAGUUCUGAUCAACCCCAGAGGAAGGCACGGCUAACUCUGCGCCAGCAGCCGC
rnacentral:rRNA from 1 species